rnacentral:rRNA from 1 species
CGCAUCUGUGCAUGCAGCAUAUCAAUAAGCGGAGGAAAAGAAACUACCUACGCUUAGGAUGUUGACACACGCGCGUGCUCGGCUCUAUACAUGACUCUGUGCAUAUCAAUAAGCGGAGGAAAAGAAACUAACAAGGAUUCCCCUAGUAACGGCGAGUGAAGCGGGAAGAGCUCAAAUUUGAAAUCUUAAAGGGUUUCCCUUUACGAAUUGUAGUUUAAAGAAGUGUUUUCUGUUGAGGUUUUGGUAAAAGUUCUUUGGAAUAGGACAUCAUAGAGGGUGAGAAUCCCGUAUUUGACCUUUACUUUCAACUUUGUGAUACACUUUCAAAGAGUCGGAUUGUUUGGGAAUGCAGUCCAAAAUGGGUGGUAAAUUUCAUCUAAAGCUAAAUAUUGGCGAGAGACCGAUAGCGAACAAGUACCGUGAGGGAAAGAUGAAAAGAACUUUGAAAAGAGAGUUAAACAGUACGUGAAAUUGUCAAAAGGGAAGCGUUUGACACCAGUGUUGUUUUUCUGAAAAUCAAUUAAAGAACUGUUUAUGCUAAGCUUGUUUAGACUUUAUCAGCUAUCUGCUUAGUUUUGAGCUUUUCUUUAAUGCACUUUUCAGUUAACAAGUCAACAUCAAUUUCUUUUGCUGUAGAAAAGCUUGAGGAAGGUGGCUUGAGAUUCGUCUUAAGUGUUUAUAGCCUCUUGCCUAUGCAGUCGGAGAGAUUGAGGUCUGCAGCGUAGAUCCUUCGGGGCUAAAUGCAUUUGUGCUAAGUUAUAGCAUUUUAUAGACAACUUGUUGACUAUGAUUUGUCUUGUAGCUUACUCGCUUAUGUUAUUUUACCUACGCUUAGGAUGUUGAGCGCAUGUCUCUCUCU